rnacentral:misc_RNA from 1 species
CAAAAAUGGUGGCAUUAGCUUCUUCAUCUCUCUGCAAUUCCCCUUCUUCAAUUAUCCAUUCCUCAAAAACAUCUAUACCCAAUUUCAUUACAUUCUCUUCCUUAAGUUAUUACAAGAAAAGGGGAAAAUCGCUUGCAAGUCGUAGCCUUGGAAUUGUUGCUGCUACUGAAGGUUCUGUUAACAAAUCUAGUGGAAAAGAUGAGGAAAAACAAGAAGACCCAUCAGUUCCUACAUGGGCUAAACCCGGUACGGAUGAGCCUCCACCAUGGGCUAGAAAUGAAGCACAGAAAGAUUCUUCAAGCAUUCAAGUUCCAUUCGUUGUUUAUUUGCUUGCUUCUGCUGUCACAGCAAUUGCAGCGAUUGGUUCUAUUUUCGAGUACACGAAUCAGAAACCUGUGUUUGGAGUUUUGGGUUCAGAUAGUGUUUUUUAUGCUCCAUUGCUUGGGUUCUUUGUGUUCACUGGCAUUCCCACUUCUGCAUUCCUUUGGUUCAAAUCAGUACAAGUUGCUAACAAGGAGGCUGAGGAACAAGACCGCAG